rnacentral:rRNA from 1 species
GACGAACGCUGGCGGCGUGCCUAAUACAUGCAAGUUGAGCGCUGAAGGUUGGUACUUGUACCAACUGGAUGAGCAGCGAACGGGUGAGUAACGCGUGGGGAAUCUGCCUUUGAGCGGGGGACAACAUUUGGAAACGAAUGCUAAUACCGCAUAAAAACUUUAAACACAAGUUUUAAGUUUGAAAGAUGCAAUUGCAUCACUCAAAGAUGAUCCCGCGUUGUAUUAGCUAGUUGGUGAGGUAAAGGCUCACCAAGGCGAUGAUACAUAGCCGACCUGAGAGGGUGAUCGGCCACAUUGGGACUGAGACACGGCCCAAACGCCUACGGGAGGCAGCAGUAGGGAAUCUUCGGCAAGGGACGAAAGUCUGACCGAGCAACGCGGCGUGAGUGAAGAAGGUUUUCGGAUCGUAAAACUCUGUUGGUAGAGAAGAACGUUGGUGAGAGUGGAAAGCUCAUCAAGUGACGGUAACUACUCAGAAAGGGACGGCUAACUACGUG